UUUCCGUAGGUGACCCUGCGGAAGGAUCAUUAAAGAGUAAGGGUCUUCGGGCCCGAUCUCCAACCCUUUGUUUAACUACCAUGUUGCUUUGGCGGGCCCGUCUCACGACCGCCGGAAGGUUGGCUUCGACCAAGCAUCUGGCCCGUGCCCGUCAGUGGACCCUUAAAAUUCUUGUCCAGGUAUGAUGUCUUAGUUAAAAACUUAAUAGUUAAAACUUUCAACAACGGAUCUCUUGGUUCUG
rnacentral:misc_RNA from 1 species